CAAUGGGGUAGCUGCAUGCAUAUUCUCCUGCAACUGCCUGGGCGUGCUGGUGGGAAUGCUGAGGGAAUCAGCAUUUCUCAGACUUGAGAGGUAUCUAAUUUAGCUAGAUAUCUCAAAACUGUACUGAGACAUGUCUUGUUGGGAAGGGCUCCCUACAGAGCAGUCCUGGCCACUCCGUGUGAUUCUUGUUCUCAUCAUUAUUUGCUAUCUGUGUUUGCCUGAGAAUGUACCGGAGGGCAAAAGAGCGAGCAUCUAAAUAUUUCUGAGGCAACAGGAAGAAACACAAUGUCUUCUGUGACCUCUGCAUCCCUUGCCACUCACAGGUAUUUUUCUGACUGUGCUAAACCCAGCGCCAGCCCUGACAGCACCACUGUUGUUUUAGCCCGAUCAGAAUCACAAAGGAAAUAUUCCCCGUGGUCAGCGGUACAAAACCACACGUAACAAUGCUGGGAAGCCUUGGCUGUCAGAAAUACAUCUUUACUUUUUAAGAAAUAACCGAUACGAAUUAAAAAAUCCUCCGCAUUUUAUUCACAACUUCAGGAAAUGCCACGAGAUGACACAAAGAUUGCCGUUCCUUAAUGCCUGGAAAUAGGAAAGCUGGUUCCAUUUCAGACGCCAUCAGAUAAUACUUUUGCCAGAGGAUGUUAUUGCAGUUUUAGGCUAAAUAUAUAAUAUAAAUAACCUGUCUUCUGCGGUACAAAAAACUGUCUACUGGCUGGAAGCAAUUAUUGUGAGAUAAUACGUGGAAGUCUGCCAGCUGGGCUUGUUAGGUUUUCUAGCUCUACAUUUAUAAUAUACAUUAAUGCACACCACUAUCUCCUAGCACAGCCGAGGUCCUGUUCUAUCACUGUAUUUAUGAGCCUACUUUAUGUAUCAGUGGUAAUAUAAUAGGGCUCCAGCAAACUGCACGGAGAACUAAUCUAAACCAAACCCUUAGAAGAGAUUAAUUUCCAUCCAGGAAAUACACAACACCUUUAAACGGAUCACUUUCCACGCGAGUGAAUUAUUAUUCCAAUUAUUUGGCCAGCUUUACAACUUGCCAAUGGCUCAGUGCCAGCUCUUUAUUUAACAAGCCAAUAAAAAAUUGAUUACCAAAGUCACAGGGGCAGCUGUGCACAGGAUGGCAAUGGUGGGGAGAGAGAGGAUCACACAGCCACUGCCAGGCCAGCCCCUGUAUUAGGUAUUAGACCAGUGGUCUAACCAACUAUUAGGCAUUAGACCAACGGUCCAUCGUUUCUCAUGGUCAGCAAUAAAACUAAACAAAAUUGCUCCCAACUGCUAUUUGUGCCAAGGAAUACAUGGGUACGGACCCAGCUUUCCCUCACCAGUGACCCACAGAGAAGGGAUAAGGGUCCCAAUGGGACAUGCAAAGUGUUUCUGCCCUGGGGAAGGGACCUGCAUGGAAGAGAAGCUGUCCCUCCAACGUCCCCCAUAUUUCAACAGGAUGGGAGAGCAGAGAUGCACAGGGAGGGAAGGAGGCUUGUGACUUCAACAAACCUUUGUAUUGCUGGGCCAGCAUAUAAUGAAAACUAUGAUCCAGACUGGGGGAUAAAUCAUAGGAAAGCCACUGAGAACAUCUCACAGGCAGGUGGUGGGACCGGAGUCUUGCCUGCAAAAGAGACCUGUACCACGCAGCAGCUUGUCUGCAGCCACAGUGUACAGCAGAGUGCCUGCACAGAAACGCUGGGGGGGGCUGCCAUAACGCCUCCUGUAUUCUCUGGGUCUGAUCACAGCAAACUGAAAAAAUCUCUCCAGAAAUGAAUGUCUGGGUGCAAAUAAGGCUGUAUUUGGAGUUCCCAGUUCCCGUGUGAUUUGCUAUGAAAAAAGGCCGAAGCAUGGCUCCAUUCACAGUGUUGAUGCCAGCCCCUAGAAGAACUGGUGAAGUGAAAGUCACUGAAACAGUGCAAAAGACUGCCUUUAGAGCACCCAGCUAAGGACAACUAAGCUAAGUUGUUCUUCCCUUUUCACUUUUAUUUCCUUAUUCCUUACAUCCUGCCUAUUUUUAGAGCGAAAAUAGAACAGGGCUGAAAAUGCUUCCUUGUCUUCUGAAUGUAGUACUGAACGCCCUGCCUGUAGCACAGAAGCAGGAUGCUGGGGGGAGAAAGGUGCUGCAAGGCUCUGCCAGCAAGGCUGCAACUUCUCUGCAGACGUCAUAUGUUCACCACCAGGCGGGCGCCUUGGGCAGAGGGAAAAUGCCCUGCUUGGAGCUCAUCGUCUACAGCAAAAGACCGAGUGGAAGAGACUCGUUCUAACUUUGAGCCCCCAGUUCAAAGCAUCUAAUUCUGAUUUGUCUGUGUUACUGGCAGACCAUGACAAGAGAGCAGAGUCUUCACAAGCUCCUUCAACACCUGUAGGGGCUGAGGCACCUUUUGGAGGCCCUCUUCUUUCCCCAGGUACUACAGGUAGAUUGCAUUCCUCAGCCAAGAGAUACACACCAAGGGAGAUGACUCUGGAACAUGCCAAAAAGCGUUACUACAAUAAAGCGCUAUGGAAAACGAUGUGCAAGGGAGAAGGUGGUGUGUGUUGUUAGGCAGCCAGAGGGAAAAGCAAGAAAAAGAGGGAAGUAAAAAGAGGGGAAAGAGGAGAAAUGCAACAAAGUGAAGAUGAGUGGUAAGAGUGAAAGCAACCGCGAAAGAGAAACAGCAAAGAGACCACGGGAACGAGGAGUUGGAGCAAGGGGAUCGAGCAGGGGAAAAUCAAAAGCUGACAAGUGAGAAAUCCGUGCAUCCCAUGGAAAAGCCUCAAAACUCUAUCAAUACUAUCACUGUUGGAGCUUUUACAAGAGCACACAGGCACAGGCACACACAUGCCUACACAAAGAUACACAGGUAGAAAUAAAAUUCUACUGGAGCCAAGCCACCACGUAAGAGUUACAGCUCAAUGACAAAAGCAUUGUACCUGCAGAGGGAUUACAAAGUACUGUAAAUUGCUGUGAAAUUCGUUUUCUUUCUGACAAAUCUUGCUGAUCGCUGAGGCCAUAAUGAAGUGUUGCCUGAAGGGCGAGCCCACACAUCCAGGACAUGAACACGCACCCCAUGAGCAUAUGGAGCUGCGGUGUCACAUAGCACAGAAUGAGAGGAAGUUCUCACAAUCGCCCGUUUCCCCGUGCUGCACUGAGUGACUGAGUGAUCACAAACCACGACUGAAGAACAGGAGUGAGUCACGGAGUUCCAAACAAGAGCAUCCACUAAUUGUUCCACGGAAGAGGCUCAGAGAAGUAUGAAGGAGGGUUUUGUAGGAUAUUAUUUUGCUGAUUGUGAGCUUUGCACUCAGGGAGAGCCACGUUCCAGGGUGCGGUAUCCCUCAUGGACAGGCCUUGUGGUAUGAGCCCAGAGCAGCUUUGAAGCUGUUCAGAAGGAACUCAGCCUGAUGCAAACCAGAGAGGAUUUAUAGGCUCAACAGGCAAUCACAAUCCUGUAGGUAGCCCUCAGCUUUGCCGUCUUCCUUUCUCUUUAUGCAGAUGAAAGGUUUUCUUCAAACUGGGAUGACGUGGGCUUGAAAGGUUUAACCUCACCACGUGAGGUGCAACCUCAGUUUGCACUUUCCUGAAUGAAAAGUUAAAUGGUGGCUGCUCCUAAAUCCCUCCCACCACGUCUCACCGGGGAGAAAGAUUUUCUGGUG